AUUGAACGCUGGCGGCAGGCCUAACACAUGCAAGUCGAACGAGUGGCGGACGGGUGAGUAAUGUCUGGGAAACUGCCUGAUGGAGGGGGAUAACUACUGGAAACGGUAGCUAAUACCGCAUACCAUCGGAUGUGCCCAGAUGGGAUUAGCUAGUAGGGGGGGUAAAGGCUCACCUAGGCGACGAUCCCUAGCUGGUCUGAGAGGAUGACCAGCAAGAGUGGAAAUGGGGCACGGUCUAGACUCCGACGGGGGGCAGCAGGGGGGAAUGUUGCACAAUGGGAGUAAGCCUGAUGCAGCCAUGCCGCGGGUAUGAAGAAGGCCGUCGGGUUGUAAAGUACUUUCAGCGGGGAGGCGUUACCCGCAGAAGAAGCCCCGGCUAACUCCGUGCCAGCAGCCGCGGUAAUUC
rnacentral:rRNA from 1 species